GAGAAAAUGGAAGGGAAGUGUGAGCAAAAUAUACCAUCACACCUAUUUCUUGUAGUUUGUCAAAUACAGUAAGAAAACUUUUUAUUAGAUCUGUGGGUUCCAAACUGUGUUCUGUAGAUUAGGUGAAGAUGUCAGGAGGGAAAAAGCCUCGCGCCUUCUUCAAGACUUCAGUCACCUCUCUCCGAUGGGGUCCUGGCCCUAGUGACGGUAUACGCAUUGACAGAAGAGCUGAAGGACAGAGGAUGGAAGGAGAGAAUGCAUGGUGAGGAGGGCCAAGGCCAGCAUGGCAAGAGUUCCAGGGAAAAAAUUCUAGCCAGUGGGGCGAGGCCUGCACAAAGACUAGAGGAGAGAAACUGUUUGCCACUUCUCAGAAAUUGAAAGAUCAUUUGGUCCGAAAAAUAGUAAACGGGAGAGUAAACAACAUGAAGGAGUUGGGCCCUGAUCUCGAAGGGCAGGGACGACCAGGGACAUUUUGUCGUAAAUGCUUGGAAUUCAAAGAUCCUGAGGGGGGGUGUUGCGUAUUCUAGCUGCCCGGCCCCACCGCUGCAGACUGACCGAUGUCGUCUGUUCCCUCAAGCCUUCAGAAUCGGCAACACCCUCAGACAGGGCUUUCUAGGACUUGGCAAUGAGUUCAUUUUAUCGAAGGGUUUUAGGAAGGGAAGUCAUACGAAUACAGUUCCAUUUAUUUUGAAGUCACAUUUGCUGUAGUGUGGAAAAGAGAAGGCAGGCUAGCUCAGAAGCAGGGAGACCAUUAGGAGACACAACAGAUGCAUAAGCUGAAAAGCAGAAAUGGGCACUAUUCAGAGAUGGACUGGAUGGGGAGACUGGAGGAAGGAAGAGAUCGAGAAUAGCUCUUAGGCUCAAACACCCACCAACUGAUGAGUACGUAAACAAAACGUGGUACAUGUGAUCCAAUUCAACUAUAAAAAGGGAUGAACUACAGCACGCUGCAACAUGGAUGAACCUUGAAAACGUUACGCUAAGCCAGAAGUGCCGGCCUCAAGAGACCAGAUAUUACAUGCUUCCACUUACACGGAAUGUCCGAUACAGACAAAGCUACAGCAAACACUUAUGGCUAAUGGAGGUGGGAGGAAUGACACCAAAGGGGUUCCUCUGGGGAAAUGUUCAACAACUGAUUGUGUGAUGGGUACACAACUCUGAGAACGUACUAAAAGCCACAUAAGUGUACACUUCAAAAGGAGACUUGUCCAUGGAAAUUAUCUCAAUCAACUUUUUUAAAAAGAGACUGCCUCUUAAGUUUCUAGAUUCAGUUUCUGGAAAGGGGAGGAGCAAGGGUGAAGAAAGUGAAACCUAUCAGAUCCCUCUGGGGUUCUCCUGCGUACAAAAGCUUUUCCACGUCUCCCAUUUCUUGUUUGUAGAAAAAAGAUUUUGGCCUCCUAGACCUUCCCUGAGUUCCAAACAGCUGAAUCAAUUAGGGCAGGGAAGGAACGCAGAAACAAAGGAAAGGCAGUCAAGAAACAACAGCAUGGCUCUGGGCCAGGUCCUGCAUCCUCCUCCCAGGAUAUGCGUUAACAACCCUCAGCCGGGUGGAGGACGUUGACUGCAGGCUGAGCACCAGCUCGGGACCCAAGAGGAUGGGACCAGAAGGCUAGUGGCUGAGAUUCCUGAACCACCACCCACCAGAGGAAGAUGCAAACACUAUGCAAGAACUACGAUCAAAUCCCAAGUCUGACUUCAAAACCUACGCUUCGUGACGACACGCCAUUUACACAACGCACGUUAUAUCCCGGUAUGCCCUGGAAUUGCCCUCAAGGUGCACAGCAGAUUCUUUCGAAUAAUCUUAAUUAUGGAGCAUCCACAGAGGCCGGACAUGUGCUUAUUAUGGCUCCAUGGGAAAAGCCCCACGGCCCAGUGCUAUUUCCGUGGCCCACAUUAUUGCUGCU